CUAGCUUUCCUAGGAGCGAGUUCAUCACUCCCACUGAGGCACUCACCAGUAUCUUCUCUGCCAUUCUGACUGCACUUCUGGGAUGCCGCCGCCGCGGAGGAUGGUGACCACGGGCGAGCCAAAAACCAGCGGAUCCGCCCGGAUCUACAUGGGGAGACGCCGGCCGCGUUGUUUCCGGGGGAGCGGGAGGAGCCGUGCGGCCUCUGCGAGAGCGAGCGGCAGGCGGCGCUAUGCCAUGGAGCGAUGGAGCAGCGAAGGUAUAGGGAAAGGUGUGGCAAAUGCGACGACUUCGGGUCAGCGCAAGGACUUCAAGUCUCCGCCCACGUCCGUGUUCACGCCCCCCGCAGAUGGUGGGCCGGCGCUCCGCGUUGAAACCCGAAUAGUAGAGUCGCCAUCAUGGCCCCUCUCGGGGGGGGGGGGGGGGGGGGGGGGGGGGGGGGGGGAAAGCCAGCCUGAAAUGACCCACCAGGCCCAACUCUGGCCUGAAACUCAGCGGCUGUACCCGUACUAUACCCAGCCACGGCGGGGCGACGCACCGACGCAGACGGACGCCGCCCGCACACGCGACGGCAUCUCAAUCCCGACCCCCACGAGCCGCCGGGGAACAUGGGGUUCGACCUCAGCCUGCCGCCGCCGGCGGCCGAGAUCCUGGUGUAGGAAUGGGCGUGGCAAAAUAGAUUGAUCCAUCAUCCGUCGGCUUGUUAAUCACAAAUGAAAAUGAUUAUUAGCACUUCCCGGUGUGUAGAUAGUCAACUGUUUUGUGUAUAUGAAAGGUGCGAUGCAGGAGUUAACAAAGAGAAUUGGUUUCCGUGAAUUUCUUGUUUGUUUGGGACGGCUGGAGAUAUAAAAAAUUUCAACCUGCAACACCACGUGUGUCUCUAAUUUUUUUUGAAUUCCCUCGUAUAUUUUUUUUGGAAAACCUGCUCUGCUUGAGUCCUACUUCCUCUGUCCUUUAAUAUAUGUCGUCGUGGGAAUGGUCAAACUUUUUUAAAUUUAAAAUAUUAGCAAUAUUUAUAUUUUUAAAUAAAUUUAUUAUGAAAAUAGAUUUAACGAUCUAUCUAAUGAUACUGAUUAUGUAUUAUAAAUAUGAAUAUUUUAUAUAUAUAUAUAUAUAUAUUUGGUCAAAGUUGAUUGCGUCUAAAUUCUCGGGAAGUGAGAACGAUAGACAAAGAUGGACGGAGGGAGCAAAGAGGAUAUACGCACAAAUUUUAAGAUCCCGUUUGAUAGGGAUCCAGAUUCUCACCGGUAACGUUUCGGAUGAGUUUGGGAUGAUGAAUCAGAAUCACUGGACUGUUUGGCUGCAUAAUCAGAAUCACUGCGAAACCACGUUUACACCGAUUCACAUUCAUAAGCAGAAAAACUUGAAUCACUUGGAACCGUUUCUACAAGAAACGUUUCACCCUUUGCCCAUUUAGCAGUGAUUAGUGUGUCUCGCUAGAAUCUGAACUGCCAAACGGGCCUAAAAUUUGGAGGGCGCAAAACUGCGGACUAGCCAAAGCUUCCGAGUUCCAAAUUGAAAUGGAGUCAGACAACAAAACUGGCAGCCGCGUGCGCGCGCGGCCGCGGCGGCGACACGCCACGCCAGGCCUGCACUGCACGCACCUUCGCGGAAACGCACACCCAUGUCGGCAGGCAGCCACGAGCAGCAGCCGGCGGGCCGAAGAAUAGAAAAAACCGGGCGGCGCUCCCCUCCUCGGCUGGCGCCUGCGUGCGUGCGUACGGCGCCGUCCGGGACCUGACAGCGCGCGGCGUGACGGUUGCUGCCCGCCCGUCCCAGCUGCACGCCAAGCCAGCGGUGCGCCGCCGACGCCCGAGUGUUAAAAUCCGCCGGUGAUCCAUAACAGUAAAAAUAACGCAUCUCUGUCAUCUCAUUUACAACUGUCAGCGUGCCACCAUCAGUUAUGCGAGCUCCAAGCCUCCAAGUAGGAAAUAUGAGGAGCAUAUACGUGUAAGAGCUGCUAAACCAGUAUCUGUUGUUUGGCGAUUGUCAAGAUUAAGAAACUUCCAGUGAACUCAAAGGCAGAAAUCUUUUUCAAAACAAUGCCAGUAACCAAUGUAAAAGAGAUUGAUGAUCAUAUCCUGCAUAUAUAUUGCAUGGACCUGUAGAAACAGAACGACUUAGUUUAUCUAUAACAACUUUAAAUCGAAAAUCAUGAAGUGCUCCAGGGGACUGCAGGAACCAGGGCGUGGGAGGCCUCCACGGAGGCACGGGCAGCAGGAACCGGAGCGUGCGGGAGAGGUCCUUCCUCCUGGAGCUUGCACAAGACCCACAGGAACCGAGGAAGGCGGUGACGGCGAGCGGCGUCCGUUCGAGCCUGAGCUGAGCAUCAAUUCCCCAGCGGAAGGCCGUUGAGCGUCGGGUAGAAAAGGACGCCACGCGUCCGUUCCUGCACCCAAUUUUUUUUUCCCCUUUACUCACCUUUGAAAUACAAGACGCUUCUACAGGUCGUAAAUACUCCCCUCUAUGCCUUUAUGAUUUCGGAUGUGUUAUGGUCCUAACUACGCUGGCGGCGCGCCGCCGCGCCGGCGAGCUUUGGACAGAGUUGCGCAGCCGGCAGCGAGAAGAAGAACAGUAGGAUAGGUUUGAUGUUUUCUCCAUUCCAUGCCCCCCCUUCAGCGUUCUCUAGCGCUUGCAUAUCCAGUCCGGCUCUCAGCCCACAGAGACGAUACAUGGGCUCAUAGGCUGCUACUUACACGGCCUUUGGCCCAACUACUACUCUCCUUUCUUCUUCUUUGCCGUCGGUGCCUCCUCUGUCACUUGGGCUGUGACACUCCCCCUCCAUUGGAAAUCAGCUCGCCCCAAAGCUGCUGUAAUGGAAACCUCUGAUGCAGAUAGUUUAAAUUCGACCAAGUAGUCCAAUCCGCCGGCGAGGAAGACCAACGAAUGAGGCCAUAUGGAGUUACUGAAUUACCCACUUUAUGCAGACUAGUAUGCCACUGUUCCCACCUUCUGAACGAUUUAGGGGCCAAAAUAUUUGAAGCUCAACUUAUGAUUGGAUCUCCUUACAACUGAGACUUGCACAUAUGGCUGUAACCUCAAACAUACCUAAUCUCCAACUUCGAAUGACCUUUCUGUUCUAUUCUUAUCUGCUUGUGCCUUCAUUCUGCUUUGAGCUCUGAGUUAAAUAUUGUUGAACCAAUUUGUUCAUUAAAGAUCUUUCCUAAAGCCACCGCACCAAAUCUGGUACUUUCACAUUAGACUCAGAUGGAACACAGAAAUGUCUGGGUUUCCUAAAGCAACCUCGAAUGGAGUUUUGCCCAACGCUGAGUGAUACGUGGUGUUGUAACAAUGUUCCGCUAAUGACAACCACUUAGCCCACUUGGAUGGACAAUCUUGAACCAUGCAUCGCAAGUAAGUUUCAUUGAUUAAGUCUCUCUGUUUGCCCAUCCAUGUGAGGGUGAUAGGAUGAACUCAUAUUUAUCAUAUUUAAGGUGGUUUCAGUGAGCCUGAAUAACUCUCGCCAAAAAUUGCUAGUGAAUACCUUAUCUCUAUCACUAAUAAUAACAUUUAGCAACCAAAAAUUGCGUUGCCAUGUAUGUGGAAAACAAGCUGUAAAAUUAUAUAAAAUAAUUAAAAAAAGUGAUUUAGUUUGAUUUGUGGACGAUUGUCGACGAAGCCUUGGCGUUCGUUGUGAAGCCGUGACAGUUGUUGAUGAAGUCGGCUAGUCGGAGUCGAUCCCGACUACUUGUUGAUCACGUGGAACCCACACUCGACUAGUUUGUAGUCAAGACGAGAACUUUUAGAUAGUCAUUAUUGUGUCGCCGAGAGCCAGCGCAGUCAUGCAUGCUGAAGUCUCAUGUACAUUUCUUCAAUACGUGUUGUGAAGAGGAAUAGAUCUCUCGGUGGCCUACCUGGUACGUGCACUGAAACUCCAAAAAGUAGCUUUACACGGAGAGUGCUUGAGCUGAUAGUGUUGACAUGAAAAUCGAGAUGCGAUCCUCACGCGCUAACACACGAACCUGGGAGAAUCUGCUUAGCUCCUGUUCGGGUUGAAGCCCUGUUGAUCCGCGGCGUGCCAAUGAAUCUGACCUGCUGAUUGACAAGGAUAAUCCGGAUGUCAAAUAUGAAAGCGAAUCGGCUGGUUUGCCGAUUGGCCCUAUGAAGAUCGUAACAGCUGAUUAGCUGAAAUAGAGAUAUACGAUCGGCUAGGUCAGCCAAUGUAAGUGCUGCAGAGGAAACGAUAAUGCGCAACCUAAACAGUGCUACGAGGAAAACACUUGAAAUAGAUUUAAUCGGCUAUACGAUGUAUCCUUGAUAGCAAAACAGAGUAAGAAGCCGAUCUGAAACUAUUACGAGCUGGAUAAUUGUGAUAAAAGCUAGAACAACGAGGUGAACUUGAAGAUCUAGCAAGUAUCGAUAACUUGAAUAAAUCCAGAUGAAACGACAGCGAUGUGCCCGAAGUUAAAGCCUGGAGAUUAUUCGGUAGACACGGAACUCAUAGGCCAGUCGGAGAUCAAGUUGAUGCAGCCCCACUAGCUUGAAAGAACUCGUGAAAAGAGAAAAAACUUUGGCGAAGUCGCCGACUUGAAAGUAAAUUGCGACAAUAAUAGAUUUGUUUUUAUUGAUGUGUAUGUGUUUUUCUAGACCUCGUAGGGUCUCUAUUUGUAGCCUAACCUCAAAAACCCUAAUCCUAGUCGAUUACGACGCGAUACAAUAUCUGUAACUUAAAAAAACAAACUUUCUAAAUAAAAACGAUUCAUACAAGAGUACGGACACUAAAUAAAAAAAACUUGUAUAAAAGUCAGGAUAUCUUCACCGAUCCAGCUUCUCUUCUGCCUUCUAUCAUCCGAACCUCCAAUAUCCCCGAUCGGCUGGAGUCCUGCUCGCCUCACGCGGAAUCAGCUGAGCCCCCCUGUCCUCAUCAGCUGGAUCGGCUGGAACCCUUCCAUCCGCAUCGGCUGUCUUCAUCAGCUGAGUCUCCAUUAUCUUCCAUCGGCUGAAAAUUGGUGACUCCUUCUGCUGAUUUCCCUGGCCGUUGCUCUUCCACCACGUAUCAGCACCUCGGCCUCCUUUUGACAUUAGUUUUUCGACAUGUGUUAAAAAAUGGUGUCAAUAGAUAGUUUCCUCAAUCCAUGCACGCGCAGUAGAUGGAAUAUUGAUUGGCCUUCAUUGCUUCAGUAUAGGAUUCGGCAACCGAAGGCAAUUAGCUUAAGAUGCCUUCGUUCGUGACUUCAACUCGAAGACGGAAAAAUAAUUCCGCCGAUAUUUUUCCUUCUCACGGGUGUGGAGCAGUAGCGGAUCAUCAACCUUGAGCGACGCACGGAGCCAUGGAGGAUGAUCAGCUAUAGCAGUGCGACUAGUGCUGUAGCUUUUUGCAUGUAGACAAGCCGAUAACCGAUUGAUCUCUCGCAAGCUUCUUGUAUCCGCUUUGAAUUGGAACUCGGCGACUUGCUUUUCCUCGAGUAGAUUGAUUUUUAACAUGAGUUCCUUCAAGCUCGCUCGAUGAUCUCGACAAUCACCCCUACCUGACGCGCCAGAUGUCGGUGUUUUAUACCUGGUAACCUACCGAGGGGUCCUCGGUAGUAGAUUCGUUGGUUUGGGAUCGUCGGACCUGGAACUCGAAGGUAAAAGCGAGGAUACAAGACACAGAUUUAUAUAGGUUCGAGCUGCUAGAGUAACGUAAUACCCUACAUCUUGUUUGGGGUGUUGUAUAUUGCGCCUUGCGAUUGGUUGUUAUUUGAUGUUGAGAAUUUGAUCAUUUGAUGUGGUUCUAUGAGAUCUUCGCCUAUCGAUUUAGGGACCCUUGCCCUCAUUUAUAUACUAUAGGGGGAAUUACUAGUCGGUUACAAGAAGGAGUCAUAGUAGGAUUACAUGGUAUGAGUUCUAAUAGGAUUACAGAAGGAUCAUAGUAGGAGUCCAUCUUCUUUAUUCCUUGUGUGUAAUUGGGAUCCAUCUUUGUUGUCGGUGCCUCCUCUGUCAAUUGGGUUGUGACUGGAUGCUUUCACGAAGAGCGAAGCGAAUAAUAUAAAUUAUCCAUUUUAUGGCGGCCUGGUUAUCACGGGUGUGUACAAAUUACGUGAAUAGUAAGUUUUGCACUAUCUUUGUAUCUAUAUUGCACGGUGCUAUCAUCUAUUUUUAUUAUUAGUAGUGAGAUAAUUUGAUUAAUGUCAAAUGGAAAUACUUUUGACAUGUAUAGGGUAUAUGCUUCAUAUAGAUUUAUAGCUUCUUUGGGGUGAAUUUAUAUUUAUAGAUUUUAUUUGAUUGACAUGAAUAUGCACAAGUGCACAGUAAACCACUACAAAUUUUACACUUAGCCACCAGGGAAAAAGAAAGGCAAAUAUUACUUUUGUGCCUGGUGACUUACCGGCAGGGGCGGAUCUAGCGGUGGGGCGGGCGGAGCUCAAGCUCCCCUACCACCUCUCGGAUAGUGGAGCCCACUUUGAGUCCCUCCAUAGUUUUUGAGGAAGAAUAAGAGAAGGCAAGAAAGAAAAACGAGAAGGAAACAAGCUCCUGCUAAGUUCAUGAACUGCCAUUGCUUACCGGAGGGUGACUUUGCUGCCACUGUGCCAGGCUAUGAGGGUGUUUGGUUCCAGGGACUAAAGUUUAGUCCCUUUCACAUUAAAUAUUUAGAUACUAAUUAGGAGUAUUAAAUAUAGGUUAAUUACAAAACCAAUUGUAUAAAUGAAGGCUAAUUUGCGAGAUGAAUCUGUUAAGCCUAAUUAAUCCAUGAUUUGACCUACAGUAAAUAUCUGCUAAUCAUGAAUUAAUUAGGCUUAAUACAUUCAUCUCGUGAAUUAGCUACGGCUUAUGCAAUUAGUUUUCUAAUAAUUAGUUCGCGUUUCAUCCUUCUAAUUGGUAUCCCAACAUCCGAUCUUGGGCACUGACUGAGGCUGAGGCAGCGUACUUUACUUUCAAGUCGGCGACUUCACCAAAACACCUUUUUUCUUCACGAGUUCGUACGGGUUGGCAGGACUGCAUCAACACGAUCUUCGGCCGAUUCUGUAAGUUCCGCUUAUCGAGUAAUAUCUAGGCUUUAACUUCGGACGCAUCGCUGCUGUUUCGUUUAGAUUUAUUCACCAGUUAUCGAUAUCAACUAGAAUCGUAGGUCUUACCUGUUAUUUUAGUUUUUAUUAUCAGUUAUCUAGCUUCAGGUACGAAUUGUCGGCUUUUAUUGCUUUCGUUCUUUGUUAUCAUACAGCCGAUUAGAUCUAUCCCAAGUGUUGCUUCUCUAGCGUUGCUUAGUUUGCUCUAGUAGCUUUUCUUUACAAUCGUUACACGGUAUCGGCUGUUUUAUAGCUGGUCACCUCUACAGUAAAUCGGUCGAUUCGCCGAUACGCUUUUAAAGACAAAUCGGAACUUUAGCCGAUCGGAGCCCCUAGAAUUUAAUACUUUCAUUUUCUUGUCAAUCAACAGGUCAGAUUGACUGGCACGCCGCGCGAACCGCACCAAGGCGAUAACUCGAACAGGAGUUAAGUAGAUUCUCCCGGGUCGUGUGUCGGACGCUGGGGAUCAUCGGUCGAUUUUCAACGCCAACAUAUACUAUCAUCAGAAGGACAAGGAAUUCAACAGUAAGGAUCUGCAGAGUUCAGUGGAGCCGACAUGGAGAAAAGGAAGCUACAUGGCAACGCGAAGACGCGUUAAAGAAAGAGUUUCCCCAUCUGUUCAGAAUUCAGCCGAAUCUCGGGGAUGAGAUUCAAUUUAAGUGGGGUAGGUUUGUAACAUCCGUAAAAAUCACCACUCUUAGAUUACUCGUUAAAAUUAUUUUCAAAAUCUUUCGACCGUUGAGCUUCCAAAAUUUCUAACCUUUCUGGCGAUUUUGCCAUCCCGGCAACCAAGCCAACCGCCAUGAUUUCCUUCCUUCAUUUUUCUCCGCCGCGCGCUCAAACAAAAAUCUCAUAUGUGCCCGACCGUUUCCGCAUUUCCCGCCAACUCUCCUUUUAUUUUUCUCUCCCUUUUUCACUUCUCUUUUCUUUUCUCCUUUUCUUUUCUUCCUUUCUUCCUUCUUCUUCCUCCUUCCUCUUUCUUCCUCCUCCUCCCUUCUUCCUAGCAAUGUGCGCAGCCCCCCCCGGCGCACCGCGCCUCCCCCUUGCCCCUUCCCUAGCCGGCUCCCCGAGGCCCCAAACACGCACCUGGCCCUCCCCUUGGCCAGCCCCACCUGCGCCCUAGCCGGCGCUGUGCGCCUGGCCCCCUUCCCUGCGUAGGCCACGCCUGGGACCCCUACCCGCCGGUAGCACAUCCGACGCUGCCGCCGCGGUCGUGACUCGCCUUCCGCCGGCCCCUCCUGUCGCCGAUCCCCUACCUCACCGGCCGCCCAAGCUCGCUGGACCGGGGGCCCAUAACCGGUGGCUCAUUUUCUUCCUCCCCAACCGGCCUAUAAAAUGGGGGUGACGCCCCAGCCGCCGCCUAACCUCCUUGUCCAAGCCACCAGUGCCUCCCCCACUGUCCCUUGCGCCCCCUCGCUGCCGCCCGACAAGAACUCUGGCCGCCCCAAGCUACCGCCGGCCACCCCCUUCCCCUAGCCGUUUCGCCCAAGGUAAAGGCAAAAUGGGACCUCCAUGAUCCCCUCCCCCUUUUCCCCCACCGUGAGCUCGCCGCCGGCAGCCCCCCUCCCCCCUCCCUCCCUCCAUCCCUGUCACGCACAGGACCAAGGAAGAACAAGACUUUUCCCCCAAUUUUGAUCUAACCCCCUCAUUUUCCAUAUUCGCGAACCAGCCCUCCCACCUCUCUCAAAGUUUUCUCACGGAUAUGCCCUUCCACCUCCUAGAAAUAUUUGCAAAUAGGUCCCUGGUUCUUAAAGUUUGGUCCUAAGCUUUGUUUUAAUCCCCUAAUACCCCGUUAACUCAUCAUUUCAUGCACCAAACCACCUCCGUUCGAUCCCAAAUUCGAUCACGCCGUUCUCUAAAAUAUUUCCACCAAGUCACCUCUGAAUUACAUGCUCAAACUCGUUUCCUCUAAUUACCGUUCACGUUCUCUGUUCAAGCUCAACGGGAAAAGCUUUAAUUUUUAUUUAUUUAUUGUGUGCCUGUUUGUGUGUACCGUAGAUCGGGGAGUACCCGAGGAGGAGCCUGAGGAGGAGUUUGACUACGAGCUUGAGCCCAAGAACCAACCCCGCGAGCAAGAACUCCUGGCCGACUUCGAGGACGGCAAGUCUAAUGUCACCCUUUGAUACGUAUUUGUCCUAGUUUUUCAAACACAACCUGUUGGCCUAUUUUUAUAAAAUUGCACAAUGUUUUAUUGCUAAACACAAUUGGAUAGCCACCCCUUAAUUGCUAUAAACAUUCCUUGAAUUGUCCUAUAAUUAUCGCUAAAUAUGACUCGCUCUGUUCAGAAGAUAAUUACUGCUAGAUUGCUUAGGACUUGUUACUCCACUCCAAUAUGACUAUCACAUGCUUUGUUAACAACUAGAAGUGUGAGUGUUUUUCCAAUGUGUAAACAGGUCUGGGAAUAAAUGAAAGAGUUGCCUAGAUGAGAUGGAUGGGUAUUUCUGUUGGAGGUAUGCCCUAGAGGCAAUCAUAGAGAUGAUGAUAUUCCAUUUGUAUCCAUGAUUUGUAUCAUUGAAUAUCCAUUGAAGGCUACUUGAAUUGAUUUGCAAUUAUGUGAAUUGUAUGUGAAACUCUUUACUUGUAUGGUUAUUCUAAAGUUGUCCCUAGUCGGAGUUCAUGUGAGGACACACAUGAAUAUUAGACUAGCACAUGUAUUAGUUGAUGACUAUGUUUCACAAGUCAUGGACAUGGAGAUGUUGAACUAAUAAUGUGGACACAUGUGGAGACAUGUGCUAGGACUGACCUAACACGAGAAGUAGUUCUCUCUUUAAACAACAUAUACGCUUUGUCCUUAGACCUGAGAUUGUCGCAUGUAUUCUAGAUGUGGAUCGACCUACUUAGGGGCUAUCAAACGCUACGCCGUAACAGGGUAGUUAUAAAGGUAGCUUUCGGGUUUGUCAAGAAGCAUGCUAUGAGACAUGGUCAAUCAAGAUGGGAUUUGCCCCUCUCUGAUUGAGAGUGAUAUCUCUGGGCCCCUCGAGUGAUCGGAUCCGAAAAUGCAUGGCCAUGCUACGUACGGUUAAGAGUUAACCUACAAAGGGAUUCCGAAUCACAGGAUCGAGAAAGAGCGGUCGGCUUGAAGCUAGACCAAAUAUCGUGAGGCAAAGGGAAUAGUAUGUAUAUUAUGUUGUGAUGGUUCGUCUGAUAUGAUCUUCGUGUGCGUAUAGGAGUUGGCACGUCUUGCUAGAGGCCGCUACCGACUAUUGGGCCGAGUAGGAGUACUCGGGCCAUGUCCAUACGUAUCCGAACCCAUAGGGUCACACACUUAAGGGGCUGGAAGCCCAAUUCGGAUCAGAUCCGAGUUGGAUUAGGUUUAGAUGUACUAAUGGGCCUCGGAUCCAGAGGCCCGUCAGGAACCUCUAUAAAUAGAGGGGUGAGGGCGCCCUAGGGUUUACACCUUUUUGGCGAAACACACCUACCGCGCCUCCCACGCCCUCGCCUGUUGCAACUCGUGGAUCUAGCAGUCCGGCUUGCGACGCUUCCUCCCUGCACGUGUGGAUACCUUGGAGGUGUUGUGCCUGCAGCACUUGGACGAGCCGCCGACGAGCCGCCGACGAGCCACGACGAGCCAACGACGAGCCGCGGUACCGGAGGCGAUCUUGUUGCACGUGGACGAGCUGCUGAGGAGCUGCUGGACGUGAUCGACUACGUACAACUACGUUGAUCGACUACGUACGACUACGUGAUCGUCUUCACUGCAUCGACGCAUAUCUACAUCUUCCGCACCAGUAGUGCGUCGAGUGGUAAUCCCGUGAUCCUUAUACGGCAGUUCUUCCUGGUUAUACGCGGUAGAUUUUUUGAAUUGCGCUAGUGUAGCCUACCUCGUAUCCCAACAAUUUCUUGUGUGGAGUACCGAAAUGUUGAGCUCGUACCUCUAUGGUUGAGCAAGGUUGGGAGAUAUCCAUCUUGUCCCAGCUAAGGACCGAGUUGAUGUGCCAUAUUGCCUAACCCAACUAUCGUGCAACCCACUCGACCGUUGUAUGUGGCAACAGCUUAGCAUAAACCCUGCUAGCUAGUCUGAUAGCCGUCAGGAGAGCUGGUGAGCAACGGGAGACCAUGGAGCGGGACUAAACCCUGUAUGACCUUAGAUCCUGGCUAAGACCUCCCUAGGAUUGUUAGCCCCUUGGUUUGCUUCCGUGAUGGCUAGACAGUUUAGCUAAGUUGGGUAAUGGCUUUGAUAAGAUCUGCCCCGGCACUAAGGUGUUCGUGUUGCGGUACCCUACUUGUGGGAAAAGUGUACAACCUCUACAGAGUUAAAAUCUAUCCAGGUAGUCGUAUCCACGGUAUUGGAUGAGUUACGGCUUGGACACAUAACUAGUGCUUGGGAAAGGGAUAGUUUCAUGGUGUGAGUUUGGUUUUUGGGAAGUGUUCGGCUGUUGUGCCAUGAGCUACCUUGGACGGGGAGUCCAGUAGCACUAAAAUUUGGAUCCUUUGAGUAGGAUCAACCCUACUACUUAAUUUGGUUAUUAUGGAAUUGCUUGCAAAAACCAUUUGAAAAUAAACCCUUGCAUGUGUUAGAAAACUUGGCUUUAUUGCAAAUAAACCUAAACCUUAUCCUUGAUAUACAUCCUGUGCAUACUUUUGCUUGUAUCCCGCUCUGUGGAUGGGGUUGGACUUGUUGAGUACUUUCGUACUCACCCUUGCUUUGUUGCUCCAGAGGAAGACCUGGAGUAUGUCACCGAGGACUUUGAGUAGAAGGUCGCUUCAGCACCCAACACUGCCUGUGGUGUUGGCCUUUGCAGAUGGUUCCACUGUCGCCUAGUUCCAACUGCAGUUCAGACUUUGACUGGACUUUGGUUUGGAUUUGUAUCGUUAUCUGUUUGUUUCUCCUUUGGGGAUGGCUCGCCCUCCCGCUCCUUCGGGACUUAUACGGUUUCUGAACUAUCUGAUGAAAUAGAUGUGUUAUCAGCCUCCUGGGACUGAUAUUUCUAACACAUUUAGUCUCCGCCGAUGUGGGAACGCUUUAGGCCUGAGCAUCCUGUAGUGAAUGGGGGUAAAAACCGUGUUAAGCACAAUGUUAAAAAGCUGAAGCUCACAUUUAAUGAACUUCUGGCUAAAUAUCAAAGAGAUAACAAGGCCAAGCGUGCUAAUUGGUUAAAAGAUGUUAAGUUAUCAAGAUUGCCUCCUAAACGUAAUUCUAGGAAUGGGAAUUGGCAAGGAGAAAUGUUUUAUUCAGCGGCAUCCUGUCCUCCUUUUAGGCUAUCAAUGCUAGUUCCAUGUGCUCCACAUCCCACUAGUUUUUAUCCUUACUCAUUAUGGGGGUGGAAUGAUCCAUGGGUGCAUACUCCUUCACAUUUUAGACCAUAUCAUGUAGAGUAUGUAGCGCCUAGAGAACCAUCAUGUGCAAGGCAGCCAUAUGUGAAAAAUGACCAAUUUGAGGAAAAUGAUCGGUCUAGUGUUCAAAAUAAGAACAAGGUUGUCAAGCAAGUUUAUCGAGUGAAAAGAGAUGGUUGCAAAGGUAAAAGUUCAUAUCGGAAUUCAAUUAAUGAAAAGCUAAUUAACAUGUUAGGUACUUCGGCUAGUGAUGGCAAAGAUGAUAAAAAGAUCAGCCAUUGAUCCUCCAAGUGCCAAAUCUGACAAAAGAAGUUGAACAAGGCAGAAAACAAGAAAAGAGCAUUGCUGUCCAAAACUGAAGCAAAGUCAAACCAUCCACUUGGUUUAUCAAAUUGGCAGAAGAAGAAGCUGCAAAAGCUUAGUGCUCAAGAUUUGAGAAAGAAGAGCAUGGCAUGGGUUCCUAAAAGAAGCAUUCAAACUCAAAGCAAGGAUGAUGUUCAAGCAAAGGGUGUAACACAGUUGAAGGAGAAGAGGGAGUUUGAGAGACAAUCUCCAAAACUAAGGUUUACACCAAAUCAUCAAAAUUUUUGGUCAGUACCUCAUCCAUUUGCUUUACAAAUACCAUAUGUGCCUAUAUCUUGGAAUUCAUCCUUGGAUAUGUCUGGUUGUCCCUCACACUCUUAUUUUGAUCCUUGGUCAUAUGGGUCUUUAUAUCAUAGAGGGUUGUCACCAAAUUGCUAUGCACAUUAAUUAAAUUGCAAUAGGUGUAAUUUCAAAAGUCGAAAUAUUUAGUUCUUAGAGAUGGUUUUAAUUCCUGAAUUUAUAUAUCUCUAUAUACUUUUAUUUCUGGCUGUGCAUAUUCUUACGGAUGGAUUCAUUAUGAAUGAUAUUGAAUUAUCAUCCUUGGCAACGUAUAUGGUCGAUGAAGCUCUUUGAUCAUCGUCCUAAAGUAAUGGCUUCCCGAUGAGAGAUCAUUUUUACCUUACUAGUGCUUUAAGUGCUCGAGGGGCAAGAUAUUAGCAAAAUGAGUAAUUUGCCAUCAUGGAGUUUGUAUUUACUAAAUUGGCUUGCAAAGUGUUUUCAAAACAUUGGUGCUAUCUUUAUUUCACCAAAUGCUGUUGUUUUGAGAUCUUUAGCCGGUUGAAGUAUUUAACAUUAGUAAUUAAGCUGAAUAUGAAAUUUCUCUACUCAGGCUAAAAAUUUUGGAAUCCAUGGUUGGAAAGCAUGCUGAAAUAUUUAAUGGCUCAUUGUUGAACGUAUAGCAAAUAUUUAUGCUUAAAUGAGUCAUUGGAUGUUUUUGUUAAUAGAAGUCAAGAGGAUUCUCUCGAAUUCUAUUAUGUGUCAUGGCUCUAGACAUAAGAAGUCCAGGAUUGUCACUCUGGAAUAAUGAGCAUCAGGUCGCAGUGUCCAAAAGGACAUUCUCAUAAGAGAAGACCGAUGUUUAGAAAUGCAAGAGGGUACAUCCUGAGCACCGGUCUGACCGCCAUCUGGAACCGGUCUGACCGGUAUGGCUUAUUUAUCUCAUGGAAAUUAUGAUUGAUCGGUUUUCAAAAGGUUUCAUCACACGUUGAUGAUGUCUUUAUUUCAUCACAUGAUGUGGUUUUGAUCCUUAGCCGAUUGAAAGCUUCAACAUUAGGAAUUAAGUUGAAUCUUAGUUUUUCAGUUCGAGCUAGAAAGAUUGCAAUCUAUGAGCAUAAAUCAUACAGAGACAUUUGAUGGUUCAUUGCUAGUAGUGCAGAAGAUAUCCAUGCGUAAAUGGAUCAUUGAAUGUUUAUAAAUGCCUAGAGAUCGUAUUUGAUAAAUACAAUCCUAUACCUAGGCGUGAGAAUCAAAAGUUAACACUCUGGCAUAACAAACAUCAGGCUAUAACAUCCAUGGGGACGCUUUUAUAUUUAAAGGCUGAUGUUUGGCAAUGUCAGAGAGCGCAUCCUGGGCAGACCGGUCUAAUCGUUAUGUCUACCACUUUGGCCAAUAAAGUUUCGGAAUUUGCUGGAGCCAACGCUGGUAGUUGAGGAAAGUCAGUUGUCAUUUAUUUGCAUAAUACAAGAUGCAUUGAAAUAUAAAGCAAGAGUAAACAAGAAGGGUUCAAGAGUAAUCUGGCCAUCAUCAAUUCCAAGGAAAUUGUGUCAUAUUUGCCUUUUUAGGCUGACUACUCACCUUACUUUAUUUUAUUGUUGAAAUGACUUGUGGGUGUGAUAUUGAAUCAUUUUAUCUUUCUUCAUUCUCAAUUUGAAAAGAAUUGUAAAGACCAAUUGACAUUAUAGCAAUUCGAUCGCUUUAUGCAUCCACGAUAGUUUGCAGGUGUGAGAAUGACUUUGAAUUAGUAUUUGAAGAAUUCAUAGCUGAGGCAGUGAUACUCAGGCUUAUCUCACUCGCACAAGGUGUAUAAACAUCAACAACAAGAUGGUUCCUUCAUAUUAGGCAGAAUCAAGAAUAUGGCUGAUAGACACUAUCGUCCUUAAAAGUGAAACAUGGUUAAUGCACUUGUACUUUACAUUGUUUUUGUGCAAAUAUAAAUAUUUCUUGGUACGCAAGUUUUACUAAGAAACAGGGAGCAUGUGCUGACGACCAAAAGUGGCAUCAAGCCGAUCAGGCUGCUCUCAGCCGGGGUCUGACACGGCCAACCGGUCUGACCGGUGGUCUUGGCCGGUCAGACCGGUCUGAACAAAGUGCUCGAAAUGCAUAUUGUACUUCACCAUUGCGUAGAGCUCGUCGAGACAAUUAUGCAUAUGUGGAACGUCUAAUUUGGAGUCCGGGUGAGAGAGUUAUGGCUUCGACAAGAUUCAUCCCUGGGCUGACCGGUCAUACCGGUUUGGAUGGGCGGUCUGACCAGCCAAAUCCGAGUUAGGAAUUGUAUUUUGACAUGGGAUUUAUGUAAUCUUCAACUCCUACUGGGGCAAGACCUCCCCACGCUAUAAGUAUAAAGGGUCAUGGCCGAUUGAGGACAUCCCAAUCGAAUCAAUCUACAAUUUACUUUAUUUCCUCAACCCUAAUACUUUUCCGACCCCCUUGUUGUUCAUCUAUUGUUCUCCACGACUAUAGAUGGCGUUCUAGGCUUGUUGGUCGACCUAGGGCACGCCGGCGACGUCCACGCCCUGACGGGGUCCCUCCCGGGCGAGAGCUUCGACGGCCUUUGCUAGUUUGCUCGUAAACUAGUCGUUCUUCACCACGUAAGUGCGUCGGUUAUCUCUUUGCUAGUUUGCUCGUAAACCUAGCCGUCCUCCACCACGUAAGUGUGGUUGUUAUCCCCUCGAACGAUCGAUCCCGGCCAAACCCUAGCAAACCGGUCUAACCGGAUUGCUGAACCGGUCUGACCGACCUGCGCAGCCUCUGUGCUACUCGGUCCGCUCGCGACCCGCACGAUCUAGCGCACUCGUGUAUUAGCCGAAAAAGACGUCAAAACUUACCAUGAGUUUUUGGUGCAUGGCUAUGCUCCGUGAGCCUGCAGUGUGCUGGGCAGAACCUCCAGUGUAUCGGUUUUGUCUCUUCUGGCCUGAGACUUGCAGGGCUUCGUCUGAAGCCCAGUGCUCAUCUUCGUCAUCCAAAUUUGUCUGUCUGGACCUGGCAGCAUCAAACGCUUCCUUAGCUUUCCUUGAUGAAGCCAAUUCCACCCUAGCCCUUGGCUUCUCAUCACACAGGAGCGAAGUGAAUGUUCUGACUAUUUUGCGCUCAAAUAGCUUCAGGCACUCUGCUUCGUGCUCAGGGGCUCUGCCAAUUCCACUUGUAGCGUCGCUGCAGGAGAAUAGAAAUAGAUUGGUAUUCAUUAUUCACACCUGAUGAAUUUAGAAAUAUGUUAUUGACUUAUGAAUCUUACAAGAAAUUCAUCCAUAAUGAUAGCCUUUGUAUCUGAAUGAUACUGGUGCCAAUGGAGAAUCAAUUUUUCCUGGUACAAUUCAUUUGUGCGGCGAUUGGCUGGUACAUAGGUUGAUCCUGGGUGCCACUGCUUGAGAAGUGCAGAAAUGGUGGACGCCACCUUGGGACAAGGAGGAUCUACAUCCCAGGUGCUGCUAAGAAGACAAGUCAAUAUAUCAUGUUCAUGAAAAUUAUGAAAUACAAGUCACCCUCAGCAUUGUAAAUUACUAGGCAUGUGUUUGGUUUUGAGACGAUAUGGGUUGGGUUGUAGCUGACCUCCUUUUCGGGUUGGGGUCGACCCAUCUCGUGUUUGGAUGAGAGGGAUGGGAUCGUUCCAGUUUUUUAUUUGAUUAGAGGGGUUGAGAGGGAUGGGAUGGAUGCAAACAAUUACAUGAGGCUGUUUUUUUAGCAAACCGAUCUUUUAACUAAACAGAAUCGCUGUAUUUUUUAGCAAACCGAUCUUUUAACUAAACAGAAUCAGCAGUUGAUUGGUUUAGGGUUUUUUUUAUCAAAUUUUUUUGUUUUAUGCUUCUAUCACUGGCUGCGACUCCAGCUCUAUUUCUCUGUGGGGUUGUGCAUUGCCCACAGCUUUCCCUCUAGUCGCCGCUAUCGAGGCACCCUCUCCCACUUUUAAUUUCAUCUUCAUCUACGAGAGGUAGUGACGGUGUGAGAGGGUGGCGGACUUGGCGGACCCAGCAUACAGUGAGUGAGAACGGGCCACCCCUCAAAUUCAAGAACUGCUAAGUACCCAACACUUUAGGCCGCAGCUCAAUUUUGUGCUAAGUACGCCAGAGGGGAGCACCAUCCAUUAGGUGUUGCACCAAUAAAAUUUUACCAAAAAUUUCUGUAGCCGGUACACCCUAUUUGUAACAUUUUUCAAAUACGGUAGUACAUUUACAUUUUCUAAAAGCAGGUUAAUAGAUACACAAUUUACUAUAUCACGAGGACACAACAAUUUAUGAAGAUGCAUGCUAGGAUUGCGCUAACACAACAAUGUAUACAGGUAGCUUGUAACAUGAAUGACGGGGCGUCCUGGAUGAUGCUCGUCGAAGAAGGUCCUUAUUGCAGCCUCUAUCAUUGGUACAUCUGACUCUUCACUUCUAUUCCAAGAGUAGCCCAAACCGAUGGCUACACUUUUCAGAUUCGUCAGAUGCUCGACGCCGGCAAGCCUGAUGCCACACGUCUUCACUUCACGCACACCCAAUACAAACCUGAGGGUCUCAACCUUGGGCACUGCUCCAGCUUGGAAGUGGAAGGAGUGGCCUGGUCGACGAGAUUCGAAGUAAUCAAGAGAUCUGAACACCGCACUGCUGCUGAAGACAAUCCCUUCACCAGGGACAUAACACGCCCCUAGCACAAGAUGGGCAAGGGCAGGUAACCCUGCAAGAACAGAAAUAUCAUCCUUGCAUAGCUCGUCAACAUGGAUUUCCAGGCUGCUGAGCGUGCUAAGCUGACCGACCCACAUAGGUAACCUUGGAAACGAGAAUUGCAGGUGGAGUUGCUCGAGACGACAGUCUGACAAGCACAAUGAGUUCCACCCAUCAUAAGAGCCUGUAUGCCUUUGGUUGAAUUCUGAAACAGUGAAAUGCCUCAGAUUGCCAUUGAGUAACUUCUGGAUGGAAUAAAACAGAGCAUCCUUAUGUGUUUCCAUAGUGGCGAAGUGGUGAUCAGUGAAACGCAUGUACAGCUCCCUUAGAUUCAGCAAUUCCCCGAGAGCCCUUAAAUUAUCGACCGACUGCUUGCUUGGAUCGAACCACUUCAGAGUAUGAAGAGAUUUCAUCUUGCUAAUCCCAUCAGGAUAAGCUAUGCACGCAGAAACCUUCAAAUAUGACAAAGCAGGCAAAUGGACAAUAUCAUGAGAAAGUUGGUACAACGGCCCAUGUAUAACCAAUGUCUCCAGAUGAUGUAGCCCACAAAUUUGUUUAGGCAGUUGCAUGCUCGAUCCAUGGUAGGAGCUUUGAACAUUUAAGUACCUCAGUUGAGACAGUUUUCCAAUUGGAGUAAGGUCCAAACCAUCAACCUUACAAAUAAACAGAGCUCGGAUAAACUUCAGCUCCAACAGUUCAAUGCUACGAUGAUGCAACCCAAAAAUACACAGUGAUCGAACAUGUGUCAGACUCAUGCGAGGUGCAAUUUUAUCAAGUCCUGCCUCACCAAGCUGCAGAGAGAGCCGGCGAGUCUUGCGAUGCUGUCUUCUGGUGAUUGUCUCUAUGUUUUCUACCACGCACAGAAAAUUCUCUUCUGCAGACUUGGACAGAAUUAGAUCCAGAACCAUAUCAUGAACUUUAUGAUAGAUACGCUCUGUGCGCCAAGAAAGAUGUUCCACAAGCUUGAUGAUCAUACUCCUGUUCACCAAUUCAUUAAAAUAGCUCCCUGCAAUUUUCAAUGCAUCUCUUCCAUCUAUUCCACAGACAAAUCCUUCAGCUACCCAUUGCAUAACUAACUCAUCCUUUUCAAUAUCAUGAUCCUCCGCAUACAUACCAAUAUAUAAUAAGCAUGUCUUGAGAUGAUGAGGAAGAUGAGUGUAACUAAGGUUUAGUAUCUGUCUCAUCCCUUCGGGCCAUCAAUACCAACAAGUCUUGACGAUUCCACAUAAAGAGCAGAUAUCCGAGGGUCGACAGCAACACCACCGGAUCUAGUCUUGCAGUCAUCUAGCUUGUACCUCAUGUGCCGCGCACUAGCCUCUUGCACACGGAUCUUGAGCUCUUGAAUUUGGUUGGCGAGCUGAUGCCGCGCCCUUAGCGUCUUAAGACGGCGCAACAAUCCUUUACCGUCGCAGGAACCUCCAACACGGUGCAUGAACUCAUCGAUGCAGUCCUCGAUGUCGUAGGACAUUUCCCUCACUUUGUUCCUCCACUGCUUGGUUUGGUUGUCCAGGUGCUCCAUGUCAGCGAGAUCUUCCAGGAGAGCGGCCAUGCUGCUGAGCUCCUCAUGGAGGAACGCCACCUGCAGGAUUGGGUUCAAGAAUUAAGAUAAAAGAAGGGGGCAAACUCCAUGAGACCAUGAACAAAAAAUUUGGAUCAAAAGGCACCUGUUUCCGCACAUCCUUGAGCUUGGCAUACUUUUCCCCCAUAAGAGUGGCUAGCUUUCCUAGGAGCGAGUUCAUCACUCCCACUGAGGCACUCACCAGUAUCUUCUCUGCCAUUCUGACAACCCUUCUCGGAUGCCGCCGCCGUGGAGGAUGAGGAUGGUGACCACGGGCGAGCGAAAAACCAGCGGUGGAACCUGGCGGGCUUGAUCGUUCCGAUCCGCCCGGAUUUACACGGGGGAGACGCCGGCCGCGUUGUUUCCGGGGGAGCGGGAGGAGCGAGCGGCCGGCGGCGCUAUGCCAUGGAGCGAUGGAGCAGUGAAGGU
rnacentral:lncRNA from 1 species